rnacentral:rRNA from 1 species
UACGGGGGGGGGCAAGCGUUGUUCGGAAUUACUGGGCGUAAAGGGCUCGUAGGCGGCCAACUAAGUCAGACGUGAAAUCCCUCGGCUUAACCGGGGAACUGCGUCUGAUACUGGAUGGCUUGAGGUUGGGAGAGGGAUGCGGAAUUCCAGGUGUAGCGGUGAAAUGCGUAGAUAUCUGGAGGAAUACCGGUGGCGAAGGCGGCAUCCUGGACCAAUUCUGACGCUGAGGAGCGAAAGCCAGGGGGAGCAAACGGG